UACGUAGGGGGCAAGCGUUGUCCGGAUUUAUUGGGCGUAAAGAGCGUGUAGGCGGCCAAACAGGUCAGCUGUGAAAACUCGAGGCUCAACCUCGAGACGUCGGUUGAAACCGUAUGGCUAGAGUCCGGAAGAGGAGAGUGGAAUUCCCGGUGUAGCGGUGAAAUGCGCAGAUAUCCGGGGAAGAACACCUAUGGCGAAGGCAGCUCUCUGGGACGGUACUGACGCUGAGGAGCGAAAGCGUGGGGAGCGAACAGG
rnacentral:rRNA from 1 species